CCUACGGGGUGCAGCAGUGGGGAAUAUUGCACAAUGGGGGAAACCCUGAUGCAGCGACGCCGCGUGAGUGAAGAAGUAUCUCGGUACGUAAAGCUCUAUCAGCAGAGAAGAAAAAGACGGUACCUGACUAAGAAGCCCCGGAUAACUACGUGCCAGCAGCCGCUGGAAUACGUCGGGUGCAAGCGUUAUCCGGAUUUACUGGGUGUAAAGGGAGCGUAGACGGCAGCACAAGUCUGGUGUGAAAUCCCAGGGCUUAACCCCGGAACUGCUUUGGAAACUGUGCGGCGUGAGGGCAGGAGGGGUAAGCGGAAUUCCUAGUGUAGCGGUGAAAUGCGUAGAUAUUAGGAGGAACACCGGUGGCGAAGGCGGCUUACUGGACUGUAACUGACGCUGAGGCUCGAAAGCGUGGGGAGCAAACAGGAUUAGAUACCCUUGUAGUC
rnacentral:rRNA from 1 species